rnacentral:rRNA from 1 species
UACGUAGGGUGCGAGCGUUGUCCGGAAUUAUUGGGCGUAAAGAGCUCGUAGGCGGUCUGUCGCGUCGAUCGUGAAAACUUGGGGGCUUAACCCUGAGCUUGCGGUCGAUACGGGCAUGACUGGAGUUCGGCAGGGGAGACUGGAAUUCCUGGUGUAGCGGUGAAAUGCGCAGAUAUCAGGAGGAACACCGGUGGCGAAGGCGGGUCUCUGGACAGUUCCUGACGCUGAGGCACGAAGGCCAGGGGAGCAAACGGG